UGGGCACUCUCUUACUUUAUGAGGUUAAAUCAUUUUCAAAUGGUUUAACUCCAAAAUUGUGUCUCUGGGCACCCAUUCACACUGCCUCCUCUCUUCUUCUCAUAGCUAUUUCACUGAUAAGGAAGGGUUGAGCAUACAUACUGUUUUUUUUUACAAUGGCCAUUGAUAGGCUGAAAGUAGGGGCUGAUGUUCCCAGCCUCACCUAUCAC